CCUACGGGUGGCAGCAGUGAGGAAUAUUGGUCAAUGGUCGUAAGCCUGAACCAGCCAAGCCGCGUGAGGGAUGAAGGUACAAUGGAUCGUAAACCUCUUUUAUCAGGGAAUAAAGAGUGGGACGUGUCCUGGGUUGUAUGUACCUGAUGAAUAAGCAUUGGCUAACUCCGUGCCAGCAGCCGCGGUAAUACGGAGGAUCCGAGCGUUAUCCGGAUUUAUUGGGUUUAAAGGGUGCGUAGGCGGCCUUUUAAGUCAGCGGUGAAAGUCUGUGGCUCAACCAUAGAAUGGCCGUUGAAACUGGGAGUCUUGAGUAUGUUUGAGGCAGGCGGAAUGCGCGGUGUAGCGGUGAAAUGCUUAGAUAUCACGCAGAACCCCGAUUGCGAAGGCAGCCUGCC
rnacentral:rRNA from 1 species